GCAGUCUAGCAUCCUGAGUCCUUUCACAUUUUGGGGGGCGGACGCAUCUGCGCUUUUUUUCCCGCGACGUUGGUUGCUCACGUCGCCGUUGGUUGUUCCGCGUCGCCGUUGUCGUUUUCCCGUUUUUAUGUAUUCCCGUACCAAGGGUUACAGAGGCGACUCCCGCGAUCUUGACAGAAUGACGCCACCUCACCGGAGAAAAGAGGAGGAAGAAGACCAGGAUUGGGAGUCAAGAGACGACCGCUGCUGAUGGACCCGCCGGGGGUGCACGACACCUGACCCCGGGUUGCACGCAGGCGCAAAGCGGAUCGACAGUUGGAACGGCAUGACGGGGAAGGCCACUCUACACCCCAAGGACGGCGAGAGUCCCGAAUAGGCACCUCGAGGCCACGAGACGGCCCGAAAAAAACUCCUGCAAUCUCUCGAAUUUCGCGCGCCAGAACACGGGCAUGACGCGGUUCCCGCGAUUAGCGGAGCCACGGAGCCACGCGCUAAUCAGGCGAGAUAAGGCCCCCUCGCGGGGAUAACGAGCCCUGCGUGCGCCCGGGAGGAUUAGCGCCCGGCAUUUGAGCUGUGGCCCGCUUGGCGAAAGCACGUGAGAGGACGCGAAGGAGACGAGAGCUUUCCAAGGUCGACCCGGACGAGCACCUGCGAGGGAGUCACGGUGAGACGAGCGUCACAAUUGUAAAGUCGCCGGUUUCCGUGUCCGGGAGGCGUAGUCUUAUCGGAAUUCUGUGUAUGAUAGUGAGUGCACGUGGCAUUGCCAUGCGGUAGAUUUUCGGGGAUUUCAAGUACGCGUGUCGUCUCCCGGAACGGGAUAAUCCUAUUGCGUCUGCCAAGGCCACAGUCUCGUCACUCGUUGUCGGUUUUUUAUCGCGGAUCACAUGUCGAAGUUCCAUACCGUGAUAUUGUCGCGUAUCGUGUUAUCUAUAGCGUAAGAUUUGCAUGUCUAUUAGGGCGUCGACUCUCUGUAUCAUAGCCAUUAACGACAAUUUAUAAUAGCAAUUGGUCAUUGUGCGUAUUUUGUCGUAUUGAGACUGCGUAAUGUCGAAUUUGCACACAUUCGAGCUUUCUCUGUAUUUCAGCUGAGCGGCGCGAGGCCCCGCGAGCGCGCACGAGGUCACGCCGUGUCCACGCUAUCAUCGUUGCCGAAUUGCCUAGUACUUUCGAGGCGAAGAAAUCUUGUUCGUAUUAUUCGCGAGAGUAUUCCUGUGUGGUGUAAGCUCGUGCCGCGAGGAACGAAGUUGAUACGCCUAGCGUAAAACCUCGGGGCCUACGUAAAUCCGUUAUCGCGCUCAAGUAGAGCUUAUCGUCUCGAUUGUAUCGCCAGAUGUAAAUGCAAGUCGAAGACAUUUAAUAUAUUUGUUACUUUUACUAUUAUUGA